AUUGAACGCUGGCGGCAGGCUUAACACAUGCAAGUCGAGCGGUAACAGAGAGAAGCUUGCUUCUCUGCUGACGAGCGGCGGACGGGUGAGUAAUGCCUAGGAAUCUGCCUAGUAGUGAGGGAUAACUUGCCGAAAGGUAAGCUAAUACCGCAUACGUCCUACGGGAGAAAGGAGGGGACAUUCCGGCCUUUCGCUAUUCGAUGAGGCUAGGUGGGAUUAGUUAGUUGGUGAGGUAAUGGCUCACCAAGACCGCGAUCCGUAACUGGUCUGAGAGGAUGAUCAGUCACACUGGAACUGAGACACGGUACAGACGCCUACGGGAGGCAGCAGUGGGGAAUAUUGGACAAUGGGGGGAACCCUGAUCCAGCCAUGCCGCGUGUGUGAAGAAGGUCUUAGGAUUGUAAAGCACUUUAAGUUGGGAGGAAGAGCAGUUAACUAAUAUUUGACUGUUUUGACGUUACCGACAGAAUAGGCACCGGCUAACUUCGUGCCAGCAGCCGCCGUAA
rnacentral:rRNA from 1 species